rnacentral:rRNA from 1 species
UACGUAGGUGGCAAGCGUUGUCCGGAAUUAUUGGGCGUAAAGCGCGCGCAGGCGGUCCUUUAAGUCUGAUGUGAAAGCCCACGGCUCAACCGUGGAGGGUCAUUGGAAACUGGGGGGACUUGAGUGCAGGAGAGAAGAGUGGAAUUCCACGUGUAGCGGUGAAAUGCGUAGAGAUGUGGAGGAACACCAGUGGCGAAGGCGACUCUUUGGCCUGUAACUGACGCUGAGGCGCGAAAGCGUGGGGAACAAACAGG